UUUUCUCUUAAAAUGAUUGGUAUAAUACCUAACCUAUUUGCAUAAUUAUACAGCAUCAUAUUGAUGCAAUUAAUGUUCUUGUUGUCGUGGUGUUGUUCGAAUUAUUUUUGUUAUUUUAAUGGUCUUCAUUGUUAUUGAUAAUUAUGUUUUAUUUGCAUUCACAUUAUUAAAAACAAUAUUCUCUGGUUUUGGGAAGUUACACUCCCCGAUAAGGACCAGGAUUUAAGGUGUAUCGGCUGGACCCUGCAUCCCAUGCCGUCCUCCUGGUGAAAAGGGGACGGAAGGACGGGUGUGAAGCCGGAUGAACGCAGAUAGCGCAAGCCGUAAUUGGAUUGAAAAUAACCAACUCGCGACGAAAGAUCAACUCAAAGUGCAUGAGGAUGCGACCGCGCGCCCCGAGAGUUUGUGCUUCCCCGUCUGUGUGAAAGCUAUCCGUGAGUUUGCCGUGAAUCGACAGCAGCUGCGGAGACAUGGAGCAAGUGGGGUGCGUAGAUCGGCUCGCCCACUUACCUCUCUACCCGGGAUUCAGCCGCUGCCGCGUGGAAAGCAGAGCCGUAGAGCCGUCCGUGUGAUCCGGUGUCGAGGGGAUGCAGACGGUCACAGGCGGAUGCACAGCGGCGCGGGCUAAUUCAGCACACCACGCUAAUCUCCGUGAUGUCACUCCAAACAACUUAGUGGUUGAAGGAUUGGUCACAGGGCUUGUUGUUCUAAUGCCCUGCUUUGGUGUACGUUCAGGACCACCACAGCGGCUAACAACGAUUAGCCGAGCAACACUUCACACCGCCGGGAAAUGAACACUUAAAGACUAUUCACUCUGAUGGGCCUCUGAGUGUGAGGGAUGCGGUAUAGAGAAACCUUCUCUUCGCCUAUAGUGUGAACGUAUAUGCAUGCAUUAUGCCGCUGUCGAGAAGUUUCCGGGCUUGGCUGAAGUCAGAUGGUCCCAGCAUGGCCUAGGGAAGUAUAUAACACUACAUGCUGCGGUCCCUCUACUUAGAUUCCUAACACUUCUUACAGAGGCAGAGCGACAAUAGAUCCCACAACACAUCCAUUCACCCCCCCUCUCCAAAACAUCCCUCCCAUUCACGCUCAUUCUCCUCCUCCUCCUACUCCUCUCCCACCCUCUCCUCCCUUCUGCUACUCUAAGCUGAUUCCCCUUCCCCCCCUCUCCUCUCUUUCUCCGUGUCUCCCUGGUCUUUUAUUCCACCGCUUCGGCCCCUGCUGUGGUUUUGUCUGGCCGAGGGGCCGGUCGUUUCCCAUGCACCUGCCUGGUCAUAGAUAUGUCACACGCAGGCUCACACAUGCACGCACACACACACACACACACACACGCACGCGCGCGCGCACGCACGCACGCACGCACGCACGCAC
ensembl:lncRNA